rnacentral:rRNA from 1 species
GCUGAACGCUUUCUUCUUUCUUAACACAUGCAAGUCGAACGAAGCAUUUGCGACAGAUUUUUUCGGAAUGAAGUUGCUUAUGACUGAGUGGCGGACGGGUGAGUAACGCGUGGGUAACCUGCCUUGUACUGGGGGAUAGCAGCUGGAAACGGCUGGUAAUACCGCAUAAGCGCACAAUGUUGCAUGACAUGGUGUGAAAAACUCCGGUGGUAUAAGAUGGACCCGCGUCUGAUUAGCUAGUUGGUGAGAUAACAGCCCACCAAGGCGACGAUCAGUAGCCGACCUGAGAGGGUGACCGGCCACAUUGGGACUGAGACACGGCCCAGACUCCUACGGGAGGCAGCAGUGGGGAAUAUUGCACAAUGGAGGAAACUCUGAUGCAGCGACGCCGCGUGAGUGAAGAAGUAAUUCGUUAUGUAAAGCUCUAUCAGCAGGGAAGAUAGUGACGGUACCUGACUAAGAAGCGACGGCUAAAUACGUG